GUGUUGCUUCACUGCUGACUUUGUCCCACUGGCUCAGAACUUGGUGCUCAUGGAUUUAGAGCUGGGACCUUGGAAUGACAGAACUGAAAGGAAACAGUAACCCCUGCUGUAAUUCUCAGCACUGAACUAUUCCUGAAGAGCAUCCUGAUAAACCGUGUAGGAUCUCAGGCUACAGCUACGUUGUCCAAUACAUAUUCUCAGGCAGUUUGACCACAACUAGGCCUCCUAGUGAAAUCUUUGGUUUCUUUCACUGUGUUCCUUGUGUGUUAAAGACAUCACCAGAAGAUAUUCUCUCUGAACGGAAAAAGUCACAUGCCACGUUCUCUCCCUUGGGCUUGGCUGAAAGGGUCUCAUUUUGUAAGGAAGUGGGAGAGAACUGUCUGGGAUACUCUCCUGAACCCAGAGCCUUUAGGAGAGGAAUCCAGUCUGCCAGGAGGCCUGUUUCUACUAGCAUAAAUCGGACAGGUGAGUGGCAAGGGGUAUGGGCCUCAGUCAUCUCCUCAGUGAAAUGAACAGAAGCCCAGCUAGAAUGCAGGAGAGAAACCGGCACCCUGACAAACCUUAGCGGGAAUGUCACAUGGAGAUGCUCCUGACCCUCAGAAUAUCAGCUAGAGACGUUGCAACCCUUAGGGCUCUCUGCCUAAAACAGUCAGUACCGGCAAAGUCUUCAAGCGCUAGCCCCCAACUGGCAUUUUCAAAAUGGCAGCCACUGAUGCUAACAGCCAGCAACACACUGCCGCCGGGGUACAGCCAUUUUGGGGAUAUCACAACCAUUUCUGCUACGUUUUUCUGCAUCGGAAUCUGGGGCUCAGUUUUCCUUCUGGCUGCUGUGAGGGAGAGUGUACGCAUGUUAGAUGCAUGAAGGCUGUCAUAACUAUAAAGGGAAGGGUAAUAGCUGUCCUGUGUACAGUACUAUAAAUCCCUCCUGGCCAGAGACUCCAAAAUCCUUUUCCCUGUAAAGGGUUAAGAAGCUCAGGUAACCUGGCUGGCAUCUGACCUAAAGGACCAAUAAGGGGACAAGAUACUUUCAAAUCUUGGGGGGGGGAGGCUUUUGUUUGUGUUCUUUGUUUGGGAGUGUGUUCGUUCUCCGGGAAUGAGAGGGACCAGACAUCAAUCCAGGUUCUCCACAUCUUU